UAAAAUUUAAAAUUAAAAUACUAAAAUAGUAUAUAAUUAUUUAUUAAAACUUAAAUAAUUUGGCGGUAUUUUAGUUCAUUUAGAGGAAUCUGUUUAAUAAUUGAUAUUCCACGAAUAAAUUUACUUAAUUUAUAAUUUUGUAUAUCGUUGUUAUAAAAAUAUUUUUUAAUAAAAUUAAUAUUUAAAAAUUAUUAUAAAAAUUUAAAUCAGAUCAAGAUGCAGAUUAUAAUUAAGAAUAUAAUGGAUUACAAUAAAAUUAUUUAAAUGAAUAUUAAUUUGUAAAAAUUAAUUGAAAGUGGAUUUAAAUGUAAUUUUUUUUAAUUUAAUAAAAUGAUUAAAAAUUAAAAUAUGU
rnacentral:rRNA from 1 species